rnacentral:lncRNA from 1 species
AAAGAGGACUCACGUUUUUGUUCUGUUUCUGAGUGCCUACUAUAAGCCAGCACUGUUACAAACAUGGCGCUCAUUAUUCUCAUUUAUAGAUGUGAAAAACUAGGCCCAGAGAGGUUAAGAAACACAGCGAGUUCACACAGCUGAGCCAGCGUUGAAACCAUGGUUACCUCCCUCGGAAAAUUGACGCUUUCUUUUUCACAAAUCCACAACAGGUGGAGGUGGGGACGGCAGGAAAUGAGGGAUAAAUGGGGCGCCAAUACUCAGAUCUUGCCUGUCAGCUGGCAGGAGGAGUUUCGGAAACCCUUUCGGGGCUGCCCUAAACGAGUUGUUAUCUCUCCACUCUCUGCCUUCUUCGGGCACAAUUCAGGUUACGUGAUGGAAGAUACAGAUGGAGUUUUGCUUUUUAAAGUCCCAGGGAGAGCUGCGAUCACAGAGGGUUUCUCUGGUUCAGAUCCUGGGCGCGGACAUGGCACCACUCAUCAGGCCAUGCUGAGAUGGCAUCCUGCAUGCAAUGACUGGAAGGACCCACAACUAAGGAACCUAAGGAAGCCAGCUAACUCUCACGUAAAAGUCCUGAGUUGGGCAUUGGAGAUGCACAGAUGGACGUGAUCUGGCUCAGGAUGCUAAGCAUGAUACGGUCCGGUUCCACCAAAAUCCAUCUCCUGUGCCACCGGGGAGAGUGGGACACACUCUAGAGAGCCAGUUAAGAAGGAGGCUUAGUUCCACCUUUGCCAUCUCCUGGCUGUGUGACCUGGGGCCAGUGAGCACCUUGUCUUUCUCUUCACCUCAUCAAGUUGCUGACAUACAGCCUGUCAAAGGCACCCAGUCCUGGAAUUGCCCUCUGGAACUUUCUGGCCAAAUAGUCUUCCAGUCCUUGCUGGGCAGGGAAAUAGUCCUGUGCGGUGGCUGAACGAGCUCAGGACACUCCUGCACUUGUCCCAAAUCGGGCUCCUUACAGCAAGUCCUCUGCUCCUGGUUCUUGUCUUCAGAACUCAUCCAUCCUUUACAUCCUUUC